GACGAACGCUGGCGGCGUGCUUAACACAUGCAAGUCGAACGAAGAGCGAUGGAAGCUUGCUUCUAUCAAUCUUAGUGGCGAACGGGUGAGUAACGCGUAAUCAACCUGCCCUUCAGAGGGGGACAACAGUUGGAAACGACUGCUAAUACCGCAUACGAUCUAAUCUCGGCAUCGAGGAUAGAUGAAAGGUGGCCUCUACAUGUAAGCUAUCACUGAAGGAGGGGAUUGCGUCUGAUUAGCUAGUUGGAGGGGUAACGGCCCACCAAGGCGAUGAUCAGUAGGCGGUCUGAGAGGAUGAACGGCCACAGUGGGACUGAGACACGGCCCAGACUCCUACGGGAGGCAGCAGUGGGGAAUCUUCCGCAAUGGACGAAAGGCUGACGGAGCAACGCCGCGUGAGUGAUGACGGCCUUCGGGUUGUAAAGCUCUGUUAAUCGGGACGAAAGGCCUUCUUGCGAAUAGUGAGAAGGAUUGACGGUACCGGAAGAGAAAGCCACGGCUAACUACGUG
rnacentral:rRNA from 1 species